rnacentral:rRNA from 1 species
CUACGGGAGGCUCCAGUGGGGAAUAUUGCACAAUGGAGGAAACUCUGAUGCAGCAACGCCGCGUGGAGGAUGACGCAUUUCGGUGUGUAAACUCCUUUUAUAUAAGAAGAAUAUGACGGUAUUAUAUGAAUAAGCACCGGCUAACUCCGUGCCAGCAGCCGCGGUAAUACGGAGGGUGCAAGCGUUACUCGGAAUCACUGGGCGUAAAGGACGCGUAGGCGGGUUGGAAAGUCAGGUGUGAAAUCCUACAGCUUAACUGUAGAACUGCACUUGAAACUUCUAAUCUAGAGUAUGGGAGGGGGAGAUGGAAUUAGUGGUGUAGGGGUAAAAUACGUAGAUAUCACUAGGAAUACCUAAAGCGAAGGCGAUCUCCUGGAACAUUACUGACGCUAAGGCGUGAAAGCGUGGGGAGCAAACAGGAUUAGAUACCCCAGUAGUC